rnacentral:rRNA from 1 species
CGGCGGACGGGUGAGUAACGCGUGGGUAACCUGCCUCAUACAGGGGGAUAACAGUUAGAAAUGACUGCUAAUACCGCAUAAGACCACGGUACCGCAUGGUACAGUGGUAAAGACUCCGGUGGUAUGAGAUGGACCCGCGUCUGAUUAGGUAGUUGGUGGGGUAACGGCCUACCAAGCCGACGAUCAGUAGCCGACCUGAGAGGGUGACCGGCCACAUUGGGACUGAGACACGGCCCAG